AAUCAACACCACUUGGCCUAACUGGGAGCUGGAUCUGAAUCCUACAAGGGAAGACUCACAGCUACUUGUUGCCUUGCAGAGUUCUGGCUUCCAAGUUAAAAAAAUAAAAAAGGAAAAAAAAGAAAAAAGAAAACCACACAGCAUUGCUUCCUUGGAAACCGUGGAAAAACAUCUUUGAGGGAGCAAGAGAGACCAGCAGGGAGGCUGGAUUUAAAUAGCAGAGGAAUUUCACUGAGCCCAAAGCAGAAAACAAUGCAGAAGCUGCUGAACCUCCUUGAAAGACCCUCUUGGAGGCCACAGUCACAAAGCUCCACUGCAGUGGAGGGAGAGACACCUCAUUAAAGAGGCACCUUUAGAUCUGCUCCAGGAACACCGAAUCAAACAAAGCUCUACAAACCAAAUUUCCAAGGCUGUUGUUCCCAUCAGCUAAGUGAGCACACACACCAAAAAAAAAAAAAAUUAAUCUCAUGGAUUUGCUUUAAAAUAAUAAAAAAAUAAACUUUCCCUGUGGUUCUGUAAGCCAAAGGAACAGCUUUGCUUCCAGCGACAGAAAGGCACAAAAAGCAGAAAAUGAGUGAAUAAGG